GCUUAAGUGAUCCUCCAACCUCAGCCUCCGGAGUAGCUGGGACUACAGGCACACACCACCAUGCCUGGCAAUUUUGUUUUGUUUUGUUUUGUUUUGUUUUUGUAGGGAUGGGGUCUCACUAUGUUUCUCAGGCUGAUCUCAAACCCUUGGCUUCAAAUGAUCCUCCUGACUCAGCCUGCCAAAACGCUGGUAUUACAGGUGUGAGCCACCAUGCCUGGCCUAAAGGUUUAAUUAAAGAGGUGAACUCCCAUGUCAAGGAGAGUGUUAAAAGAAUGACCGGAGGAAGGAGAACCAAGCUCAUUUACUCUUUACUUUGGAAAAAGAAACAGCAGAAACUUGGGGCACAGUCUCUUAAUGGAAAGUCACCUUAGAACAUAAUUUCUCAACAAGAAGUUGAGUCACAUAUCCAACAAGUGCAACAGAGGAGAAAGCUGAAGCACCAGACGGUUAAAAGGACUGUUCAAGAGAGCCUCGCAAUUUUGACCAAGGAAGAAAGCUGAAGGGUGCUAGAGCAAGAGAGGAACUAUGUCCAGAACAAUUCAUAAUUCCAAAUUCUCACUUCCAUGAUUUCAAUGCUGAAUGUGUACUUCUCUAGCUAAAAAUACAAUUGCUUAAGUAAAAU
rnacentral:lncRNA from 1 species